rnacentral:rRNA from 1 species
CCAAUAGCGUAUAUUAAAGUUGUUGCAGUUAAAAAGCUCGUAGUUGAAUUUCGGGAUCAAUAUUUCGGUCAUGCCGUUGGUAUGAACUGUUAUCAUUGAUUUCUCACCUUCUAAAGAACCGUAAUGCCAUUAAUUUGGUGUUACGGGGAAUUAGGACUGUUACCUUGAAAAAAUUAGAGUGUUUAAAGCAGGCUCACGCUUGAAUACAUUAGCAUGGAAUAAUGAAAUAGGACAUCCGAUUCUAUUUUGUUGGUUUCUAGGAUCGAUGUAAUGAUUAAUAGGGAUAGUUGGGGGCAUUAGUAUUCAAUUGUCAGAGGUGAAAUUCUUGGAUUUAUUGAAGACUAACUACUGCGAAAGCAUUUGCCAAGGAUGUUUUCAUUAAUCAAGAACGAAAGUUAGGGGAUCGAAGACGAUCAGAUACCGUCGUAGUCUUAACCAUAAACUAUGCCGACUAGGGAUCGGAUGAUGUUAAUUUUUUAAUGACUCAUUCGGCGCCUUACG